rnacentral:rRNA from 1 species
CGCGAAUCGCCCUUCGGGGUGCAGCGGGCGCGAAAACUUUACAAUGCGGGAAACCGUGAUAAGGGGACACCGAGUGCCAGCAUCAUAUGCUGGCUGUCCAGGUGUGUAAAAUACACCUGUUAGCAAGGGCCGGGCAAGGCCGGUGCCAGCCGCCGCGGUAACACCGAAGGCCCGAGUGGUGAUCGUGAUUAUUGGGUCUAAAGGGUCCGUAGCCGGUUUGGUCAGUCCUCCGGGAAAUCUGACGGCUCAACCGUUAGGCUUUCGGGGGAUACUGCCAGGCUUGGAACCGGGAGAGGUAAGAGGUACUACAGGGGUGGGAGUGAAAUCUUGUAAUCCCUGUGAGACCACCUGUGGCGAAGGCGUCUUACCAGAACGGGUUCGACGGUGAGGGACGAAAGCUGGGGGCACGAACCGGAUUAGAUACCCGGGUAGUCCCAGCCGUAAACGAUGCUCGCUAGGUGUCAGGCAUGGCGCGACCGUGUCUGGUGCCGCAGGGAAGCCGUGAAGCGAGCCACCUGGGAAGUACGGCCGCAAGGCUGAAACUUAAAGGAAUUGGCGGGGGAGCAC